rnacentral:rRNA from 1 species
UGAGGAAUAUUGGUCAAUGGGCGCGAGCCUGAACCAGCCAUCCCGCGUGCAGGAAGAAUGCCCUAUGGGUUGUAAACUGCUUUUUCGCAUGAAGAACACUCCUGACGUGUCGGGAGCUGACGGUAGUGCGUGAAUAAGCACCGGCUAACUCCGUGCCAGCAGCCGCGGUAAUACGGAGGGUGCAAGCGUUAUCCGGAUUUAUUGGGUUUAAAGGGUGCGUAGGCGGCAAUAUAAGUCAGUGGUGAAAUCCUGCAGCUCAACUGUAGAACAGCCAUUGAAACUGUAUUACUUGAGUAAUCUUGAGGUAGGCGGAAUGUGUAGUGUAGCGGUGAAAUGCUUAGAUAUUACACAGAACACCGAUUGCGAAGGCAGCUUACUAAGGAUUUACUGACGCUGAUGCACGAAAGCGUGGGGAUCAAACAGG